rnacentral:lncRNA from 1 species
UAGCUGACUUAUAAAAUUUAAGGUUGUUUGGGGGACAGUAUCAAUACAACCUGUGAGCAUAUCUGGUACAUAGAACAUGUUCAAUAAAUAUUUGCUUUGAACUAAAGGCUCACUGAGCAGAACCCAAAUCUAGCCUGCAGCUGGAGGGAGAAGCCCUCCUCUUGGCUUUAUGACAAGAUCAGGUGAUGCUCAUGACUUCAAUACAUGGACUGGCCACUAAACCAGGAUUAAGGCCACCUACUAAAGGGUUAGGGUGGUAUGGUGCCACCCCAAAACAGGAACCAGGCUGAGGACGCAGCAAGCUUGGUGUGAUGCCAGAAACACAAGAGAGCAAGUGGAAGCCUCGCAUACCUCUUAAGUCCUAGUUUGAAACAGGUACGUUUUUAUCUCUGCCCACAUUCCUUUUGUCUAUAAAA